AUAAACUGUAACCCUCGAACUUUAAAUCGUGCAAUUUCAUUUUAUCGUCGUACUUUAUCCCAUGACAUGAAAUUGUUACACCACCUCACCGAUUUAAUAUUACGUUGAAGCAUAUUCGAUUAAUGUUUGGUAAAUGAACGAUACGACCAGGACGGGAACUAUCAGGUGAUUUCUGUGAGGAAUUAAAGCAAAAAUUCAGCUAAUUGUCUUACUGGUAUCUGAAAGAUGGAACGACAUUGACCAGCCGUCAGUUUCUGUUCGACGCAAAACGCAAACCUGGUAUACGUGACUUACUUCAGAUAACAGAAGAAAUAUUGAUAAACUCAUAACUUGUGCUACCUUAUGACAAAAUAUCAAUAAGACUGCGACGAAUUUCUAUAUACAAAAUAAAGUGGAAAUGGUCACCUGUUAGUUGCAACUCUAGGUUUUAUUGUAAAUAACUACUAAACAUAACAUUUGUGAGUUAAACAAUAUACCGUUACUUUGUUACUUUGAAACAACUUGUUCAUUUUGUUUCAAAUUCAUUCAUUUGAAAUUCUGAAAAAAGAUAAUGUUCUUCGUGGUAUUAUUAUUAUAUUUUGUGUUGAUGACAUUGUUGUCCAAUUUCUUCUUGUUGUUGGUUUUGCUGUGCUGUUAUUAUUGUUGUUGUAGUAAUAAUGAAAAACGAAAAUAAAGAUAUUGGAAUUGA